GAUGAACGCUGGCGGCGUGCCUAAUACAUGCAAGUCGAGCGAAUGGAUUAAGAGCUUGCUCUUAUGAAGUUAGCGGCGGACGGGUGAGUAACACGUGGGUAACCUGCCCAUAAGACUGGGAUAACUCCGGGAAACCGGGGCUAAUACCGGAUAACAUUUUGAACCGCAUGGUUCGAAAUUGAAAGGCGGCUUCGGCUGUCACUUAUGGAUGGACCCGCGUCGCAUUAGCUAGUUGGUGAGGUAACGGCUCACCAAGGCAACGAUGCGUAGCCGACCUGAGAGGGUGAUCGGCCACACUGGGCCUGAGACACGGCCCAGACUCCUACGGGAGGCAGCAGGAGGGAAUCUUCCGCAAUGGACGAAAGUCGGACGGAGCAACGCCGCGUGAGUGAUGAAGGCUUUCGGGUCGUAAAACUCUGUUGUUAGGGAAGAACAAGUGCUAGUUGAAUAAGCUGACACCUUGACGGUACCUAACCAGAAAGCCACGGCUAACUACGUGCCAGCAGCCGCCGUAA
rnacentral:rRNA from 1 species